rnacentral:rRNA from 1 species
UUCAUGGAGAGUUUGAUCCUGGCUCAGGACGAACGCUGGCGGCGUGCCUAAUACAUGCAAGUCGAGCGGACCGACGGGAGCUUGCUCCCUUAGGUCAGCGGCGGACGGGUGAGUAACACGUGGGUAACCUGCCUGUAAGACUGGGAUAACUCCGGGAAACCGGGGCUAAUACCGGAUGCUUGAUUGAACCGCAUGGUUCAAUUAUAAAAGGUGGCUUUCAGCUACCACUUACAGAUGGAUCCGCGGCGCAUUAGCUAGUUGGUGAGGUAACGGCUCACCAAGGCAACGAUGCGUAGCCGACCUGAGAGGGUGAUCGGCCACACUGGGACUGAGACACGGCCCAGAC